AUGUGUCGCCCAUGUCUUCUUUCGUCAUAUAUAGAGGCAGAGCCGAUUUUCAUUUCCAUCACCAGCAUUUCAUCUCCUCUUCCAUUUCCAGAGAGGACAAACAAUCUCAAAUCUGUAAUUUCCAUAGUCAUGGCUUGCCAUCUCCGAUCUGCCAGCAUGCCUUCCAACCCCCUCUCAGAUGGAACCGACAUCCAAGAUCAGCUGCGGAGCCUUAAGGCGGUCAUGUCUUCGCCCUCUGUGACAAUCCAGAUAGUGUGUGGUGGUCUGACAGAGCUCAUGAGCAUCAACAGCUGCAUCGACAAGCUCACAUGCUUGACAAGCAGCAGUCAGACUCAGCAGAGGAAAGCUGUGGAGGACAAGCUUGAGCGCUCUUUAGUGCUGCUAGACCUCUGCAGCGUCAUGCAGGAGAGCUUCACAGAGCUCAGGACGAGUGUCAAGGAGGUGCAACUAUCCCUCAAGAGAGUGGAUGGCGCAACAGUCCACACCAAGGUUCAGUCUUACGCCCGCUUGGCCAGAAAGGCUCAGAGGCUGUGCAAAAGCAUCAGCAGACAUGGAGGGAUGCAGCGCCAUCAAGAUGACAGCUGA
rnacentral:rRNA from 1 species